CCUACGGGUGGCAGCAGUGAGGAAUAUUGGUCAAUGGGCGAGAGCCUGAACCAGCGAAGCCGCGUGAGGGAAGAAGUUACAGCGUAUCGUAAACCCCUUUUGUCGGGGAACAAAGGCGGCGACUAGUCCCCGGGUGAGGGUACCUGAAGAAAACGCAUCGGCUAACUCCGUGCCGGCGGCCGCGGUAAUACGGGGGUGGCGAGCGUUAUCCGGAUUUAUGGGGGUUAAGGGGUGCGCAGGGGGCCUGUUAAGUCAGCGGGAAACGCCCGGGGCUCAACCCGGGCGAGCCGUUGAAACUGGCGGGCUGGAGUUGGAGAGAGGUACGCGGAAUGCGCGGUGUAGCGGUGAAAUGCUUAGAUA
rnacentral:rRNA from 1 species